rnacentral:rRNA from 1 species
GAACGCUGGCGGUGUGCCUAAUACAUGCAAGUCGAACGAAGUCUUCGGACUUAGUGGCGAACGGGUGAGUAACACGUUGGUACCUACCCUCUAGUGGGGAAUAACUGCCCGAAAGGGUGGCUAAUACCGCAUAAUACCGCAAGGUUAAAGCAGUAAUGCGCUAGAGGAGGGGCCUGCGUCUGAUUAGCUAGUUGGUGAGGUAAUAGCUCACCAAGGCUACGAUCAGUAGCUGGAUCGAGAGGUUGACCAGCCACACUGGGACUGAGAUACGGCCCAGACUCCUACGGGAGGCAGCAGUAAGGAAUCUUCCACAAUGGACGAAAGUCUGAUGGAGCAACACCGCGUGCAGGAUGACGGUCUUCGGAUUGUAAACUGCUUUUAUAUAGGAAGAUUAUGACGGUACUAUAUGAAUAAGGACCGGCUAACUACGUGCCAGCAGCCGCUGU